rnacentral:lncRNA from 1 species
AUUUAGCUAUUGAAGAUAAAAAUCGGAGUGCAAACUAGAUCCAUUUUGAUAAAAUUACCCUAAAUACCCCGGCCAUGUAAUUAAAAAAUUUGUAGUAAUUUGUUGGAAGGGGUAAAUUUUGGUAUUUUCACCUAUUGAAACAAAAAGAAAAUGCGAUUAGAAAGAGGGAGUCUGAAAAAUAUGUUUCAUUUUCACCCCACCAAAAAGUAACUAUAAAAUUCUCUAUCUACCCCACUCUACAAGAAUUACAAACUCUCUCUCAUCUCUCUCCCCCUUCGACUCCUCCCCUCUCAAUCGCUCCAAAACUACUCCCGGCGAUCUCUCUCUCUCUCCUUGAACCUGAACCCCAUCACGAUGUGGGCUUCCAUGGCGAUUUGGUUCACACUACAUCCCCACUGUUUCUUUCGGCAUCGUCAACUCAUCAUCGGCACGUAUCUUCCUACUUCAAACCUCAUAACCCACAAAAACACCAUCAAAAUACAGCAAGGUGAUCACGACCCUACCCGCCGGUCGGGUCCUGCCUUUUUUAGACCGGGUCAACACACUCAUCAAUCUCCAAAACUCACGAUAAUCACCUACAACUACAAGAGGGUGAUCACAACGACCCGAAUUUCUUCGAUCCAACCUCUUUAUUGAUCGGGUCAAGUCCUUUCCGAUUCUCUCUCAACUCACUAUAAUCACCAACUAACCAACUACAAAUACAAGAGGUGAAACCAAUCCGCCGAUUCGUUCGAAGUCAUCCUUUUUGAUCAAUUCAAGUCCUUAGAUUGUCUCCUAAAACCCACCCUAAAAAACUACCGCCACGCUGGUGAACAAGAUCUGACCCGAAUGGUUUCGUACCCAACUCUCUUGGGACCGUCAAAUCCUUAGAUUCCCUCCCAGAACCCCCAAAAAUGAUCACCUCCAACAAGCAGAUGGUGAAACAGUCCACCCGCCUUGAUGAUGCAGAUAGCAAGGCUAAGUUACUGGAGACCCUGGGCCGUCGUUAUGCCCGUGUGCCAUAAACUUUCUCAAUUAUUUGACCGCGUCUGUGUCGAGGAAGGGUUGAACGUUUUAUGUAAUUCACAUGAGUUUGUGACAUGUAGCUAUUUAAUGUAAUUCGGGGAAUGGGACAAAUCAAUCACAAGCCUAUGAAAAAUAGAUUCAAGAUAUUCAUACAACCUAUGCUAAUGGUGUCUUGAUGUUAUUUAUCAAAAGGUGAAAACCGAUCCUAAGGAUGUUCAAGACAAAAGAAGUGUACUGAAGAUACUGAGAAUCCAAAGUGUUGGGCAACCACCUCGUUGGACUGUCGUUGGAUCCCGCGGGAGGAUGUAGUUCGAAAGCUUUCACGGGAUCAAUUAACGACUCAUCAGAGAAGUCGAGAGUUUGCAUUUGGAUCCCCAAAGCUAUGCGCGGGAUGUGCCUCGCUGGCGUCCCCGGAUAGCGCUGUAUUCUCGUGAACUGUCGCGGAGUUGGAUGAGACCUCAUAUAGGAAGUCGAGAGCUUGAGUUGCCAACGAGAAUUCACGGAUCCAUCGCUGGAUAGUCACGGGAGCGACAGAUGUCGCGGGAUCCUUGCUGGAGAGACCUGCGGCAACUGGGCAGUGCCGUGAUCUGCGAUUUUUAGGUUUUCCAACCACUAUAAAAAAGGGUAAGACACGUCGAAAUAAGGCUCUGAGCUGCCGUCAUUUCAAUACCCUAGAGAGUAGAAGUCUUCUCUAUCGACCAAGAGUCAGAAAAGAUUCUUGCACAAAACUUCACCACCAAUUGAAAAAAUCCAAAUCUUUGAGAGUUCAAGGUGUGAAAUCUGUUUUAAGGGAUCUGAAUGGUAAUCAAGCACGGAGAUGGUGAAUCGUGGACAUGAACUAAAUCUUAUCACUCUUAGAUCAAGGGAGUGAUAUAUUUUGAUUAUAAGAGUCUUGUAAUCGUCUGAAACUUUUGUGAUAGUGCAUGAAUUUGGUCAGCGAAGUGAACACGUGGUUUUUUUUCCCAUUCAAGGGUUUUCACGUAAAAAAUUUUCGCUCUGUUGCAAUUUCAUUGAUUGGCUUCUAUUUUUAAUUUUUGGAUUCUACAAAUAUUGCUCAAAACUGUGUUAAUAAUUUAAAUAUUGUUAGUAGUCAUUUAAUCUCUUGAUAAAAAUAUAAUCAAGACUAUAUUUUUUUUAAGGGUAAAGACGGGAGGGAGGGAGAGAGAGGAGUUAGUCUGGGGUCACCAGAGAGGACCCUAGCCGGAGAGUUAAUGCCUGAGAUGGUUCUCUUUGUUAACGAUGAUAAUAGAGGUAAAGAAAAAGAUUGAUAUGUAUAUGAAGAUAGGGGAGGGAGGAGAUUAUUGUAAUUUCAGCUCUUGAUUUCAAGUGGUUAGAAUGAAAUGUCUAAAACUUGUGUCAAAAAACUUGAUCUCCGAUCCAGCCAUAUAUAUAUAUGUAUGACUUUGUAGUUUGUGGUGUGGAUUUGUUUAGUUUAGUUUUUGUUUUUGUUUUCAAAUUUUAGGGCUUUUGGCUGGGCUUCCAGCUUGGACCUCUAACCAGGCCUUACCAUAACAAAUGGGCGGGAUCAGGAUGGGCUGGGCGGGACUGGUCGUGAGCGGCCAGUGUUGCAGGCCGUUGGUUUACACCACUAUCGUUAUGGAAUUGGGGCGUUGCAUAUUUUUAUUGACAAAUUUAAUAUUAUAUAAUUAAUUAAAGGAGAUAUGUAUUACAAGAAUUUAGAACAAAAAAUUGAUCUUAUUUAGGGAUGCGGGCGGAUUUUUCAAACCCGCAAAGCAACGGGUCAUUAGGUUUUGAAUUAUUUGGCCCAUAUCAGGACGGGCAGUUCUCGAAUUAUAUCCCGGCCCGAACCCGACCCGUAUAAUAUUAAUUAUUAAUAUAUUUAUUAUAUUAAUUAUAAUAAUUUAAAACUAUACCCUUAUUUUAAAAUACACACUCAUUCUUGAUUACUCUUUCAAAUUUUGGGUUUUGCUGAUCGGGGCGGAGUGGGAAUACCCAAUCGAGUAGCGGGGCAGGUUCGGGGCAUGGAAUAUAAAGUGUGAGUCGGAUUUGAGUUUUGAAAAAACCCGCAAAAAAUCCGAUCGCUACCCAUCCCUAAUCUUAUUGCCUUCAUAGUUUAAACAAAAUCAAGUAUACUAAUAAAAAAUCAAAACAAGGUCAAACCAUUAUACAUGAAAACAAAAUGAACCAGUCACACAGAGUGAUUAUUUAUGCAUUACUCUCUCGCAUCUUUACCACAAAUUUAUGGAAUAAGCAAGCCUUUAAUGUUGUUUGGGCUAAAUUUAUUAGCUGAGCAGUUAGAUUUUUUUAAGCAAAAAUCAAAAUAUUAUGGUUUGUUUGGUUUAAAUUUCAAAAUAAUUUAACUGGUUUGUUUUUUAAAAAAAAAAAAAAACACAACAAAAAAAACAAAAAAAAAACACAAAGUGAUGUUUUUUGUCUCACUUUUCACAUUUUAAAACCAAAAGUUAGAAAAAUCUUGCUUUGUUGCUCUAACUUAUUUUUGAGUUCUUAGUUCCAAUUAAAUUUAGUUUUUUUCGUUCUUGAUGAACAUUUUUAAACGUGUGAUCAAAAUAAAAUAAAAUCAAAAAAUUAUAAACUUUUAGUUCAAAACCAAUUAAAAAAAUCUUCAUUAAAUAAAAAUAAAAAAAUUCAAAACAAAACAGUUAAACAAACUCAAAAUAAAACUAACACGUCCACGUAUCAAUCGAGAGUCUCGGAGACUUGAGGGAUUAUGGGUCCUAAGAAAGACCCUCCGUUUUUAAAUUGCUUGAGGGUCCAGUGUAAGGUAGCUGAAGAUGACCUAAAUUUAGUUAUUUUAGUUGUUGCGUUUGUUUGUUUUUAAAAAUUUUUUUUUAUAUUAAUUAAAAAUUUCUUAUAUGGUUGAAUUUUAAUAAAAAAAUAUUUUUUUAAAAAAAUUUAUAAUAAAGACAAAAUAGCUUAUCUGUCGAGUAAAAAUGAAAUUUUUGUCUUAGAUCAUUGUUUUAUUUUUAAAAAACAACAAAAAAUUGAAAACUAAAUAAUUAAACUAACCUCCCACUUUAAACGUUCCAAAAAGGGGCUGCUAACAAAAGACUUUUCUGGUUCACGUCUCAAUUCUAUGAAAGAGAGAAUUUGUCUUUAUGUUAGAAGCAUUUUUUUCCCAAGAAGCACUUUUUUUCCCACCACGUUUCAAUAUCCAUUAUCACAUUCAACUGUUGACUAUUAUUUUAAUAGACUAAUACUGGUGAAAGGAAAAUAUAUACAAAAUCAAUAAAUUUAUACGGGGAAAAUAAUAUAUUCCUUACAAAACAAUUCAUAUAUAAAAUAUAAGAUGAUACGGCAAUGAUAUUGUGAUUAGAUAAAAACUCACUUAAUGGGUUUUUGUUUAAACAAUUAAAAAACUCCGUCACCUCAUGCUUACUAAUGUGGUCAGCAUGUGAUUAAAAUUAUGAAACUUGAAAUGAGAUCCAUCAUAACGAUGUUUGUAACAAGAACAUUCAUCUGAAUAAAAAAAAAAAGUAGUGUAAUAAAACUGUUAGUUUGUCUACAUAGUAGUUAUAGCAUGAUGUUUAACAUUGUCUUGAGUUAUAUUUAGAAGUUCACUUAUUUAGAUUAUUUACUUAAAACCUAAUUGAGCCAAUGAUAUGUUCCCAUUUUUCAUCCAGGUCCAGAGAACGCAAGAAGCGACGGGAGGCAGUAUGGAUACAAAGGAGCACGGUCAAUACUGGGAUAGAUGACACUAAAGGGUAAUUUUGGAAUAUCAAAAUAUACGCGCACCCCCCACCCACACAUUCCGAAAAACUUAAACCAAAACACCCAAAACCAGUUUUCCCUUAUAUAAGAUUAUAUUUUACAUCUUAUGCACAAAAGAUAUUAGCAGGUUCUAAUGGAUUUAAGGGAGAGGAGGUUUGUGGGGCAAAAGUUUUCAGGGUUGAAAGUGAGAGUGAGAGUGAUAGAGGAGAGAGAGCGGACCUUAUGAAGCAUCACUAAAUGGAAAUGUUGAGUCCUUGAACGAGUUAUUGCAACAAGACAGACUCACCUAGCUCGAGUCUCAUCACUUGUUCAAUGAACUCCUUUACACAUAGCUGUCAUGCAAGGCCAUGUGGACUUUGCCCCAAAGCCCACUGAGUUUUUUCCCACAAGCCAAACCGGGUCACCGAGUUAGACUCACACGGUCGAUCGCAUCUCCACUUGGCCUCUGCAAACGGGUACGUCAAGAUCGUGAAUGAAGUUGUGUUGGCGGAAGACAUACUAGUGCUGUGCAAUAGGAGACAAGACGGGAGGACUCAUCAUUAGCGCGAUGAUAAAGGCCGACGUGAGAUCGUGGACGAGUUGGCUGAGGCAAAACGAGAAGUAGUGAGGGACUCUGUCGUGUUGGGACGAGGCGAGACUGUUUUACCUUGUGUGUGGUGUAUAAAACCGUUGGAAGCUUUGUGAAGGGUUGGUGGGGGGUAUGAACACAAGGCGGCUUGUUUAAUGGAAGAGAUGAUGACGGCAACACCAUUUUGCCACAUUGCUACCAUGCUAGCAAGUGGAGGGGUAAAAGCAUUAUAUAAACAAUUUUUUCAACUGAUGUGGUGAUUGUGUUUUGAUAAAAAAGUAUUUGCUUGGUGCUGGUUUUAAAGUGAUGAAAACGUCCUACAUUUAACCCUAUUAUUCUAUACCAAAUUUUAAAUCUUUUUUUUUUUGUAUAUCUGAUUUAAAUUGAUUAAAUCUUAGAUAAUAGUUUCAUACAUAGGCCUGAUCUGUAAAUUGGGGGGGAGUUCACCGCCUUGGUCCAUUCCUGCAAAAAUUGGGCCGGCCUCCCAAUUUUUUUUUUUUUUUGAAGGCAAUUGUAUUGAAUUUGAAAAAGAACAAGUGUAAUAAGUUUAGCAGGGACGUUAAAAUCCCCCAAAAUCAAGAAAAUAUAUUCGUUUAAUUUUGACAUCCCAGGAAAGGGGUGGAGGACGGUCCCCAUACCCACGGAACAAGUACCCCUUUUAUUGAUUUAUGCAGACUGGAAAUACCUACCUCAGAACAACUGGCAAUGAAGUCAAACGAAGUGAAUGGAAAUAGUAUCACGAGGGGGACUCAUCACACAUGCCCGGAGAGAGUUUGAAAUCGUGUAGAUCCAUGAAUUGCUUGUGACAGCUGGAGGGCAAUGAGGCCAAAAGAAAAAUGCAUCGAUGACGACGGCAGCAACAACAACAGAGCAAUGCCUACACACUAGCAACCCCAACCCCAUCAGUUACACAGAGGCCCAUAAUCGGCACAACCGCCACAAGAGCAAUCACAACCUCUUGAAGCACUUGAAUCGCAUGACCACUUUUUGAACAGAAAACAGCCAUUCCUUAAUGGUGGGAGCAACAUUAAUCGCGGCAUGGCUUUUCAAGCUGUGCUAGCCCACCUGGCGGUCUUUUUGCAACAGGAUUUUGAAGAACAAGAACGCUGGAAAAUUAUUAUGUGGGGUUUACCAGAGCCAUUUUUAUACAAAUCCUUUUGGAUCCUCAAACACACUGUCGUUGUUGCUUUCUUUUAGCUAGACGGUGUACUGUACGUGGGUUUUACCAACGAAGAGAAAAGAGUUGUCUUGUUGGAUUCAACCGCCGACAAUGUGGUGACAAUAACAUCUACGACAUUCGCAUAUCUUUAGCAUUGAAUAUCAUCUCGCCUUCAUAAAGGGGAUGAGAACAGUUUUAAAUUCAUCGUUGUAGUCCAUGGAUGGGGUGUCCUUGGUAUCGUUUUUUAGCCAACACUAUUUGCCGUUUGUCAUCUGGAUCAGUAGGAAGGUCGGAAUGGCCAGAAAACAUUCUCAGGCCAAUGUCUCAUGAUCAAGAUCAGGCUCAGGAUCAAGGGAAAAAGGGAGGGUCGUUCUUUUCAAGUGGGAAGCAUAAGAACACUGUUGACUCGUAGUAUGACAAGGAGUCAAUUGUAAGAUAUAUACUACUUUUAAGAUAUUUAAGUUUCGUUUGUUAAUUGGAAUUGGUUUUAAAUAUUUAGAUGAGUAGUUCGUUCGUAUAAUGGGUUGUAACUAUUUGAUCUGGUAUUAAUCCUACGAGUUUUUGGGUAUUUUAAUAUUACUUUGUGUCUUCACUUCUAUCACAUAUAGUUACACCUACCACCAUUUUGUCUGAAAAUCAGCACGUUACCAUUAAUUUCAUUCAUCCAUACGAGAUGGAAACCAAACAUUGUUAAGUGCAAUUAACAGUGGCCGCUUUUGGCGGCCUAAGAAACCGGUCAGGUUCUGUGACACCUGUUGGGAUCAAGACAACUAACAUCCAUCAUAAAUUAAAGAAUUUCCAUAAAGAUACAAAAUGGAGUGAUAUGGGUCAAAGUUUUGAUCUUCGCACUCCCUUAAACUAUUAGAACUCUGUCGAAUUUAUACGCAUAAAGAAAUUACUCUUAUACACUUCUCGAAAGACAUACGUACAAGCCAGUAGCAGGGAGAAACAAUUCAGCAGACAUUAAUGAUUAUUUCAACAAUGCCUCCGCUUAGUUUCUUCUAAGAUUCCGUCCGAUAAACAAACUCAAAGUCAACAAGCCGAUAGAAGGGGGAUGAACUGGAGCUGACAGGAUGGGGGGGGGGGAUACAAAAUGUAGGUUUAGCUCCCUUGUUUGAGUCCUCCAGUUCUAUCCAUGGGGGCCAAGGCACGAACACCGGUCCUUUCCUCAUUCUCAACCACGGUGGGAGAAAGAUUGGAUGACUUUAUAUAGGAUGGGGGGAAACACUUCAGUUAUGUUUUGUUUUUGGGUGAAAACAACAGCAGGAGCAUAUAUCCCACGUAUCCUGGAUACGACUACCUCAAGAAGUACCUGGGGUACCAAACCAUUCAUUUGAAUUCGAACCAGGUAGUCCAGGGGGUAUAAGAAUGACAAAGAUGUCAAUAACAUUAACAUGUUGCGCACUAAGCCCCCUUUAGCUGACUAGCGUAAGAUUUGUUGCUUAAAAACGGAGUUAAGUGCAAAAAAGGAAACCAAGAAAGCAUUAUGUUAAGUUUCUAACUGGUGAAUUAUGGGGCUCUUUGGGAUUGUAGGGUGGAUUCUAGGUUGAAUUUUCGCGAUAUUUGCUUUGGAGGCGAGGCGACUGGAACUGCAUUUACCAACAGAAGAAAGGGUUUUCAAGUAUAAUUCCAACAGGGGGAUAUUCUCCCAGAGUUUAAUUAGUCUACAUGCCAACCAGGAGAAACUGAUGGCGGUACUCCUGGCAUAGGGUUGCCCGGAUGUGGUGGAUUUUUUUGUAGUUUCUUCGGUACUGAAUGCAUUUUUUCCUAUAUACAUAUUAGCUAGUAUAGUCCGAAAUCUUAAACAAAAGAGAAGCUACUUCAAAACGAAAACCUUCUCGUCAGGACCUGGCCUUCCCGGAUUUGUUGAGACUGUUAGAAGUUUUUGUUUUUGAGAGUGUGUUUGUGACACACUUUGGGACUAAAUGUGUAUUAAGUUCCGUACACUAAAUUAUGAACAAUGAUAGAUUCAUGUGCUCCUCAAUGAGUAGAGAUGAAGGGAGUGGAGGAGUUGUCAAACUAAGUUAAUUGAAGAAAUUAAAAUUUCUCAAAGAAGCUUCAAUCAAAGGGAAAAUGGGGAUAACAAAGUUGUCCCACAUUGGAAAAAGAAAGGAAAGUUAGUGGACAUAUAAGCCCAAGUAUUGACUAGUUAAAGGGGCCCGUGGGCACCACACGUUUUUAAGGGGAGGAGUUUAUGUCUAAAGUGUGCCUGAUCCAUUAGCUAUGGGCUUUAUGGAUUUGACCACGGUUGCGUCUGCGCCACAGCCUCCCUCCCGACCCCGUUCGGGCUUUGUGCUUGGGCUUAAUUGAAGAAUAUUAAUUUUUUUGAGAAAAAUUUAUUCAAUUAUUUAAUUUUUUUAAAUUAAGAAAUUACGGGUGCGGCCCAGAACUAACUUCCUUUUGCGAACGUUCACACCGUUUCGGAUUUAAACAAAACGGUUAGUACGAAGUCCUGCAAAAGUUUUCCUUUAAUCCGCGAACAGGGUGCACAACCUUUCAAUUGUGCAGAAAGAUCCCUGUGCACGCGUUCGGCCGAAUAGGUUCUAAAUUUGGGCCGAAGGGGUGCCUUUCCAAAGAGAUGUGACUCUUUAGAAAGGUGUGUUAGCUUCUAUAAAUACCGGCAUCAUCUCCAAGCAUUUUCAUUCAUUGAAAUCCAUAAGGAGCCGAAUUAGGAGAGUGCUAGAGCAUCCAGCAUCUCUUAGUUUUCAUUUGAGAGAGAGAAGACACUUGAGGUUCGACGUGAUCUUUGAUGGAGAUACUACUAUCAGAAGAUUGUUGCGUUGUAUCCUGGGAGUCGUACAACAUAUUCCGUAAGUACCCGAGUGAGGGUUGAAAAAAAACGACUUAAGGACACUGAAUUUAAUUCAGCCUCGCCAAAUUCAAAUUCUGCACCUAAAGUGUGUUCUUGAAUUUCUUUAUUUGUUCUUCUUCUUCUAUUUACAGAUUCAAAACUUUUUGUUUUAAUCAAAAAGAAACUACAUUUCUCCACAAGAACUUGGUGGCAAACUGGAUGGAUAGUUGGUGGGUUUUGUGGAGAUUUGCUUGGAGGCGUGAACUGGUACUGCCAAAUUGAAACAAAAACAGGCUUUAAGCAACAAUUUCAACCAGAAACGUAAUAUGCUCGAAUAACACACAAUCAAGCGGUAAACCUGAACCAAUUGGCGCAGAUAUGGGAUUCUUAUUUUUUGGUCAUUCUUUGGGGAACACUUGGUGGCUGGGGGACAGGGACGGUGCAGUCCAUGAACAGGUAAGAGAGGAGGAACGAAAGUGUAUGGUGGAGAUACUAUAGGAGGGACUUGGUGGCAAGGAUGGUCAAAGCCCUUUGAUAUGUUCCAGGUACAGGCAGUGACACGAGGGGUGCUAAGAAAGGUGGAGGUGGUAUAAAACCGACCCCUACAUUUGCCAAAUAAAAGUUAGCGAAAGUUAUUAAGGCGAUUCGGCAGGUCCACAUUCCCGAUUAUUAUGGAAUCUUACUGUUUGGCUGAGAUUGAGGGACUAACGUGCAUUGAUUGGUUUUUGCCAUGUGUGACAUUUCUAGGGUGGGGGUCCUUCUAUGGUUGGAAAGAAUUGCAGACGACGUGCGGAUGGGGAAAUGUUAUAACCUGUCAGCAACCACCAAUGUUAAUGUUCUAGAAAGAUAACGACUGUUUGGAACAUAAAAAUUCAAUAUCAGUAUAUUUAGUAGACAAAUAUGAAAACCAGUCUAUUAAACUGUAAUUCGAAACUAAAAAUCAUCAAACUGAAAAGUAAAAAGACCACCAGAGUUACAUAAAUGAUUACUUGUUUCUACCACGCAUUCAUUGGGGAGAAUAAAAAUGAUCAUCAACCUUACAAACAGAAUCCACCUUGUUCAAGAUUUGGAAAACACAAGAUGACAUAUCAAAUCACAUCUCCACACUUUCUUUAAAUUACGGCUCGGUGUGUGAAUUGCCCAACAAUUACAUAGCUCAGAUGAAGUCUCCACAAAAAGCAUUUGUAUCAUAAAAUGCCUCAAUGAAAAGAAUUGCAGAUAAGUUGGCGUUAUAGUUAAUGAAACCCCCCAAAGAACAGUUCUCCUUAAUUUGUUCCUCUUCAAUUGUUGGAAAGUAAAAACUUGAAAGGCAACCAGCAUCAAAAAACUUAUAUUGUGAACAUAACUGUAAACACAAAUGAAAAAGAUGCCGUGUUCCAAAUCCAUCAAUCCUAAAAGAUUCAAAAACAACAACAUUAGGAAUCAAUCCAAACAGAAUUAAUAAAGCAGGUAUCACUAACCCCACAUUGCCAAGACCGCGAAUUUGAUUUACCCAUAUCUCAAAUUGUUGUCCCAAGACAAACAAAAAACCAAGAACAAGGAAAUAGAAAAAAAAGGAAAAGAGAGAAACAUCAUAACCCCACAUGAAAUUGAAAACAAUACCCAAUGGGUUAUUCUUACACAAUCAAAACAUAGAAAAAAACCCGUUGAAAAUUAAACAAUUACCUUCAGAUUUCAUGAACAACCAAAGCAAUUCAAAUCCAUAAACACGGCAGGAGCCAAACCCAUCUCAUUAACAAUCCAAAAUCUCAAUUCUCCUCUCAAUCCCCACCUCUCAGUGAUGAAGAGAGAAUCAAACAGAGAAAAUAACUGAAAAAAACUCAAUUAAUUAAUCAAUUGAUGGAAAUUGAUGCAGACGGAACCUGGGAGCCGAUACCACUGAGCAGCGCAAACCGCGUGAAUAAAUAAGAAAAAUAAACAGAAAAGAUAAACGACCUCCAAAUCCGUGUAUUAUGGAAUGCCGGAAAAUGACAUCAUUCUCUAAUCGUUGAUUUCACAAGAAUAACGGGAAAAAGGCUUUCUAAACCCGUUGAUUCCACAGAAUACCGGGAGAAAAUAACGGAAUCAAAAACUUUGUUGAUUCCGAAGAAUGCCAAAAAUUUGAAAGAAGAGAAAAAAGAGAAUCUCUUUUUAAUCACUCAAUUGUUUUUAUUCAUCAAAACUCUCCUUAAAAAUAAAAUUACAUGCUAUUGAUAAUAGAAAGGAACUAGAAUUUUAAACUUACUAAAAUUCUAAAUCAACUAGACUAGCAAAAUAAAAUACGAAUUAAUAUAAAAAAUCAUAAUUAAAAAGGAAAAAAUUAGAAUCCUAAUACUAAAAGGAAUUAUUAAUACAUUACCAUAAUUAAUAAAUAAUUAAUAAAUGUAAUUUCUGCAUCAUUCGUCUCCGCUGAAAAAAAAAAAAUCGUCCUCGAGUUUUCAUUACUUUCAAAUUAAUUUGAUGCGGUCUGCACUGUCUGCGGCCAUCGUGUAUUUUAGAUUAAUUUUUUAAAUCUGAACAAACAAGACGUGUUGGCCAAUGAGCCAAAAAAAAAAAGACAGACACAAAUCUCUGCUCCAACAUGUAGUCUUCUCAUUGGAAACUAGACAAGGAUUUCUUCUUUGAUGGACUUGCAUAAAUUCUUCAAUGGGUUCUCGGUCAAAAACUGGGCAGCUUGAUUCCAAUCCCCAUAUGGAUCUGGAAUAAUAUUUGACUGUGAAUGGCCACUAUACCGCAGUCAUGCAUCUGUAGACAUAUUCAAUGUCGGCAUACGUAUACUACCACGAAUACCAACCCCCAUCGUGCCAUGAUCCAAUCAAGAAACCGAGCGCAAGCUCUGAUAACCAAUGUGGAGUGCAGAAGCGUUUAAAAAAAACGAAAAGAAAAAUAAAAAUAAAAGGACUAAACGAUCUCGAAUUGUGGAUUCUGCAAAUGCCGAGAAAACGAAAUUCCUUCUCUAAACUUCGUUGUUACACAGAAUACGAGAAUAAAGGCUUCUCUAAAUACGUUGAUUUACACGAAUACCGGGAAUAAAGGCAGCAAAUUCUUUUGUGAUUACGAAAAAUGCCAAACAAAGACUUUAGGAGAAGAAAAAGAGAACCAUCUGCUUUAACACUCAAUUUUUUUUAUUCCUCAAAAACUCCCCUCAGGAUGAAGAUCUUUUAUAUUAUUUAUAAUUAGACUUUCAAAAUUAAAAAAAAAAAAAAACUUAGAAACUAAAUCUACAAAAUUCUAAACCAACUAAAAUACCAAAAAUAAAAAAUACUACUAAAAAGUAAUACAUCCUAAUUUAAAGAAAAAAUAGAAUUCUAAUACUAAAAUGAAACUAAAUUAUCAAAUAUAAAUAAUUAAUAAAUAAUUAAAUAUAUUUAAUUUCUGGACUUCUUCCCCGUCUGUUUGAAAAAAAACUCGUCCCGAGUGUUCAUUGCUUAAAAUCAUUUGACGCUCUGUGCCUGUCUGCGGCACUUAUUUUAGAUUAAUUUUUUCAAAUUUCCUCUCUCCGAAACUUCAAAUUAAGAAUCCAAAAAAAAUCACACGCAAUUAAUUUCUUGCUUUAGACACCAAACCCAAGUCCUCGCACUUUUGAAGUCAUGAAAAAAUUUCAUAAGCGGAAUCCACCAUAGCUUUGAUAUUGACCCAAAAUCCACUUUGAUCAAAAUCACCUUUUAAGGGCUUUUUUUCUUUAUUGUUAAACGUAACUUUAGCCUCCUUAGAGCCAUGUCACGAUCGACCCAUGAUAUUUCCAAUACUGAUGAUGGGAAAACACUUCCUGUUGUAAUAUUUUCGUUGCUUGCCAUAUUCAUCUAUCGUAAUUUUUUCAGUUGUUUCUUCGGCGAAGAUUGGUUGUUUAUUCCAAUCCACAUUAAUCUGGAAUAACUUUUGAUGUGAAUGUUCACUCUAUAGCAUCCUCAUGCGUUCGGCACUGUUCCUGUUGGCAUGCGUACCACCCACGAAUACCACAAUCGGUACCAUGAUCAAUCAGGAACCGAUAGCAAGCUCUGAUACCAACUGAUGCGAUCGAACUUGGAGCUCUGAUACCAACUGAUGCAUUUUGCAAUAACGCAUGAAUAAAUAAGACAUAAAAGAAAAAGAUACGAUCUCGAUCCGUUGAUUCUGCGAAUGCCGAAAACGAAAUCCUUCUCUAAAACAAAAUUCUCUAAAAACCGUUGAUUCACACAGAAUUACCGGAAGACAGGAGAUCAAAACCUUGUUGAUUUCUAUAUAUGCCAAAGAAUGUGAAGAAGAAAAAAGAGAAACUCUCUCUUUAAUCAACUCAAUUUUUUUUAUCAUCAAAACUCUCCUUAAAAAAACUAAAAUUACAAUGCUUAUUUUAUAAUAAAAAGGCAACUAAGAAUUCUAAACCUACUAAAUCCUAAAUCACUAGACUACCAAAUAAAAUAUUACUUAAUCUAAUACAAUAUUAUUAAAAAAGAAAAUUAGAAUCCUAAUAUUAAAAGGAAAUUCAUUAAUAAGUACAAUACAUUAAUUGCCAUAAUUAAAUAAAUAAAUUUAAUUCUGCAUCAGAAAUAAUGGUGACUUGAAGCAAAACAAAGGGGAGGUUAGAUCGAGAGACCACAGGAGUGAGAGAGAAGCACUGAGGAGGAAGGAUUUGUUGAACAAACCCCCAAAUUGAUUCUCACUAAGAAUCAAUUUGUGGUGAGUGAAAAUUGCAGAGAAUUGAUACUAUUGCCAUGUUAGACCACAGCGUUUCUUCGACACGUGAGUAAUAAAGGGUUGUCAUAAAUUCUGGACCCAGCUAAGAAAUGAAGAAGCAAAAAACAAACAAACAACCUCCAGGGCACAUCCACAGCAAGCGAUGGGGAGGUAACUGUCCAGAGAGAGAGAGAGACAGGGGUUGUUUAUUUUGUGGGGGAUAGAGAGAAGAUCUAAUUGUUUUGGAUUCUGUAAUCAGUUUUUGUCUUAUUUGAUUUUCUUAUUCAUAACUAAUAUUGAAUACGUAAUAUCGCAAUAAUACAUCAAACUAGACAUUUAAAUAUAUAAAAAAAGUUCUGUGUAUAAAAAAGUUAAAAAAAAAAAUUGGUACACAAAUAGUGUAACGGCUAGAAAUCAUACAGAUGCUUUAAAUAAAGGAGACAGUAAAUUUCAGUUCAGGAGAUACAAGGUUCCGAUCACUCAUGAUGAUAAAAAUUAGACAAAUUAGAUCAAUAUAUCAAACUUUGGUUUCAGUAUAAAUGAACUGGCUUCUUAAAUAAAAUAAACGAUGCUAUUAACAUAACACGAUUGUGACCAUCUCAAAUAAUUAAUUGGUGAUUUUUACGAAUUGUUAUUCCUCGUGAAAAUUGUGCUAAAAACUACUUAAAAGAUGUUAGCGAAGAUUGAACGUGAAAUCGACUAAAUUUUUUCUCUGAUUUUGACAGUUUUUCAAUUUCACUUCAAUCACCCAAUUCAAACACCGCCGUUUAUAUGACUGCGUGGUGGUUGUUGGUGUGAACUGUCCCUCUGAUAUUCCAUUUCCUUUUCUUUCUUGAUACAGUGAGAGUAUAAGCAUCAAUACUGUUUAUUAAUUAAUAAAUUUUAAUGCGAGGUCAUUUGGGAUUUUAUGUGUGGAAUGUGGGUUGUUCCUCCAAGGUUUUUUUAUGUUAUUUUUUUCAUAAAGCAAGAGGGACUACUUCACCAAUUGAAAGUUUUCCAUAAGGCUAUAUACGUUGUUCACCAAAUUUUUUUUUUUUUAAGCUUUUUUUUGUUUAAAAUAAGCAAAAAAAAGUCCCUCAAGAGUUGGCUUUUUUUUAUACUUUUCUAUUUUUUUAUUUUUUAUUUAAGUUUUUAGCUAAGUAAAAUUUACAAAAACAAAAAAAUCAAAAUUUUUUUGCCUUGUUAAUAUAACAUUAACAAAAAAUUAAUUUUUAAACAAUUACAACCAGCCUAUAUCCAUUGGUUCCGGGUGGGGAUUGAAAUUCCUUUGGUUACUUACUGGGAGUUGGUUGGAUUCUUUUUGCUUAUGUUUUUCCACAUGAAGGAGGGAGAGAAGAAGAGAACAGAGACAGAGAUGCAUGACGCAUUGACGUGUCAAAAAAUGGAAUUUUGACAACUCAACUCUCUUAUUGAAACUAGUAAAUUGCCCGUUACCCAUAGGCAUUAUGAUGGCAAAAAAAAAAAAAAUAUUUUCAUCAAUUUUUGAUAAUUUUUUUAAAUAAAAAUAAAAAUAAAAAUAACUUUAAGUACGUUCUUAAUCUAACUAAUCUAAAUGAAUAACUAAUUUAAUCUAAACUACAUAAGAAGCUGUUUUUUUCCACCCCCUCUAUUUGCCCUCCUCUUUUUUUGACUUUUAACUUUUACCCUCAUUCUUUCUUUCUCAAUUACAAUCUUACCAUUCAAUCCUUUUAUUCCUUUUUAAUCCCUAUUUUUUGUUUUAUAACCCCUUGAUUUUUUUUUUAACCCCCCUCACUUCCGAAUUUUUUAUCUAAAAACAAUUAUGAAAAAAUUUAUAAAACCUCUUUAUUUUGCUUUUAAUACCCUUAUUCUUGUUUUUUAUUUUAACUUUCACUUUUAAAUUUUAUAUAAAACAAAUUAUGAUACCAUCUUAUAACUUUUUUUUACUCCCACCUUAAUGUUUUUAUAUACAACAAUAUAUAGAUAAAAUUUUUAUAUUUUUAAAACUUUCGAUGGGUUGAUAGUUAUAUAUAUUGUUUUUAUUUGAGACUUUCUGAAAAUUAAUAAUAAUCUUUUUAGGAAUUUGAUUUAUCAUAAAAUUAUAAGAAAAAUAAUAAGUUUUAACAUAUCAAUACGUAGUAAAUUUUCACAUGACUAAACAUACUUCUAAUCAAUUCCCCUCCAUAAGAAAUUAUAUAUAUUUUUUAUAUAAACAGUCAAAAGUGAAAGUAAAAAAAAUCAAGGGGUAUUACAAAAAAAGACUCAAAUAACAAAUAACAUAUAACUAUCACCCACCUGAAAUUUUAAAAAAAUAUUAAAAAUCUUGAUUUAAUACUUUUGUUCUUUCUUUUAUAAAAUCUAAGGUGAGAGUAAAAAAAAAUUAUAAACGUUUAUUAUAACUUUUUUAUAUAAAAAUUUGAAAGUGAAAGUAAAACAAAUAAACUCAUUAAGGGAUCUUAACGAAAACGACUAAGGAGUUUUUAAACUUUUUCUAUAACCAAUAUUAUAUACAAAUUUUGAACUGAAAGUCUACAACAGAAGAAUCCAGAGUAUUACAAAACCGUCUCCCCCUGGUUGCAGUGCACCGUGCUGGCGGCGACAGUGCGCGUUCUGCUGCGCGAGCCCGUGCCUGUGAUGGCGCCACGCGGUGCACCGGCGGUUUUUGCGCGGGAAAAAAUCAUUUCAAUUGAACUCUUUAGGCGUUGGAAUCAAUAACAUAAUUUAGCCGUAGAUAGCGCGAGAUAUCUUUUGGAUUCAAACUAGUCCGCUUCUAAUAUAGAUAAGAACCGGAUUUAUAAUAAAUGUUUUGUUUAUACAUAUUUUUAAAGAAUAUCCUAUUUUUGUUUAAUAAUGAUUGUACACCUUCAAAAGUGAGUGUGUAUAAAAUACCUCUUUUGGCCGUCUCACAAAUAGUAAGAUCGUCUAAUUAAAUUUUUUUAAAAAACGUGUGAAAAUCAUAAUUUAGCGGGUCCCACUAUUUUAUGAGAAGACAAAAUAGGGUGGUACCGAUACUAUUAUUUUUUUUUUAGGGAGGGGAAAAGAGAAGUUUUGGAUUUAGGCUAUGUUUGGGGAUUUGACUUAAUCAGAGAACAGAAAGAAUUCUCUGGUUUUGAUUAUAUAUAUGGUAUGGGCAGGGAACAUAGAUAAAAAAUCAUCUCAUUGACUUUUCGUUUCUUUUCUUUCAUCUUUUCAUUUUUUUUAAUAACUAAGUGUCCCGAACUUGCUUGUGUGAAUCUCAACUAAUUCUAAAGAGUGAAGUUAACGACGGUAAUUUCAGUAACCCAUGUUUUUACGUUUGCCUUUGUAAGAUUCGAUCUUAUGAACUUUGUGGUAAAUUCCUAAACUGUUCCUCCUUCUCUUACUCUACAAGCUUUAGAUUUUUUAUUUAUUUGUUUAUUUUCCCUUACCCUUUUUUAUUAUUCUCUCUUUUGUUUUCUCUCUGAAACUAAACAAGGAAUAUUUUUUUCUCUUAUUUUCCUUUCCUUUUCUUACAAAUCGAAACAAAGGAACAUAACUAGUACUAGUUUUUAUAAAAAAAAUUCUCAUGUACUUUUCCUUUUCUUCUCUCCCUUUCGCAAGUUUCCCCGAACAUACCCUUAAAUUUGUAACAUAAAAAUGUUAGAAGAGUCAUUUGGGCUGUCGGAUAUCAUCAGGAAUAAGGUUUAGAGGAUAUAACCUUAAGAGGACUUUUAAAUUUGUUUGAAUACUAUUUAGAAUGAUGGCUACGAUGGGGAUCUGGAAGGAACAUAUAAACGAGAAACACAACUAUAAAAAUUACUAUUACAAAACGAUCCUACAUAUAUAAAUCUAUAUAGAUCUAUUCAUCUAUGAAUAUCUUUAUAUAAUAUAUUUAUAUAGGUAUAGUAUAGGUCUUAUCUAAUUUUUACCUAUCUAGAUUUUGCACACAUUUUAUUUCUUUAUAUACUCUUUUCUCUUCCUUAUCCCGCCCCCUUCUCCCUUCCAAGAUAACUUUUAAAAAAGGUGAGGGCCACAACAUAAUUAUCUAUCCUAUCUCUCCCUUAAGGGAAAAGUUAUCCGGGUAGAAUUUUUCUAAUAAACGGACAAUUUUUAAAACCUUCAAAUGCCGAAUAAAAAAAGUUAUCCGGUGGAAAGUUAUCCGCCCCUCUUAUUCCCUCAUCAAACAUGCCCUUAGGGCUCGUUUGGACUGGAGGAUUGGAGGGGGUAAUUUUUUAGAGGGGGAUAAUUUUUAAAGGGAUAACUUUUUAAGGGGAUAACUUUUAACUUUGUUUAAUACUUUUUAGAAUGGGUGGAUAAGGGCGUGAAAUAAAGGAGUACAAUUAUUAUAAAAGAAACAAAAUACAAUAUCUUGAUAUAAAAAUAUAUAUUUAUUUUUCUCCUCUCUAUAUAAAAAAAUUAUACAAUUUUGUUUCUCUUUAUUAUAUUUUUUUUUCUUAUCUCCCCACCCCUUAUCCCGAUAAACUUUUAUUAGUGUCUAGGCCACCCAAAAAAUUAUCCGCCUCUAUCCACCUACUGGGGAAAAGUUAAUCUGGGGAAAAAGUUAUCCGCCUCCAUAAUCCAUACUACAUAACGCCGGGGAGAAAAAAUUAUCACGGGAACUAAAAGUUAUCCCCCUCUAAUUCCCAGCCAAAAUGCCCUUAGAGUAAGAGCACCAAUUAAUCCAUAAUAGGUCACAUUAUGCAACUAACGAGCACUUUAAAAAGCUAUGAAUUAUGGCAACCAUUAGCCAAUCAAUACUAAUAAUAAUUGCUCAUUUGAAUAAGUCAGCCAUUCUUCAGGUUUCCCUAUUUGAAAUGGUCAUCGUGGGUGUGUGCCCUGAAUUCUAGUUGAAGUUCCCUCUUCUGGUCUUGAAAGACAAACUGCCCUUUGCAUUUAUAUAUUGCAAUUAUAGUACACUUUCAUGAGGAUAAACAUUGGUCUUUUUGACCAAAAAAUUCCAUCUUAAAUAUAGAAAUAGGGUUUGUUAAACAAUAUGGUCCCCAUUAUACCUUCCAAAAACCAUUACCUCUUCAAAUUAAUUGGAUUUAAUAGUUUGUUCCCCAUUAGAUCACCUAAACAAUCACCUAAACCAGCCUGCAAUGGACUCAUCUUUAUAAGGUCUUCCUCGUUACCAUUAAAAAAAGUGUUUUCUUUUUUUCUGCUAAUAAAAAGGAGUAGAGGAAACAAUCAGCUGACUUUUUUCUGAGUUUCACAUAAUAACCAUUACAGGUAUUAGAGAUACAUUAUAAAUCCAAUUGCUAUGAUUACGUCUCACCGACACACCGAAACACUAGUCUACACCGAGACACUAGCCCCUCAUUACCAUUAAUUAAGCUUGCUUAUUAUUGAUCAAAUGAAGUACAAAUUUUGUCAAUAUUUUUCCCAAUCUCGCCUUCAAAGUCACAAAGCUGACUUGUUCUUGCUUCCAAGGUUGGAUUGAGGAUGUAUUUGAGAUCAAUUAAUAAUUACUAUCUUGGAUUUAUUUAAUUAUUUAAUUAUCACUUUCUCAAUUUAUCAAACCAUGUAAAGAAAAGCAUUCACGUGUAUGUUUGGUGCUGAAAUAAGAAAUGCCCUCUUCUCCCUCUCCCUCUCUCCCUCUAGGGGAUGGAUCUCUCACAACCUCUUCUUUUCAUCAUAUUGAUUUCCUCGUUGGUCACAAAGUAGUUGACAACCCUCCAGAGAGAGAGAGAAUAUCAAUGCUUAUGUACUCGGAUACAAUAAAACUUAGAAGCCCCACAAAAUAAUUUUCCACAUGGAUUCUAUCUCCAACUACCUUCUUUUAGAAAGUUAAUUAAUGUGUGAGCCCUUAAGAAAAGUAUGAACCCCAACCCAUUGUAUUUUUGAUAGGCCCGUUGCCAACCCUAAAAAUCAUUUUUGGUGAUUAUUUUAAUAACAAAAUUUAUUUUUGUGUAAAAAAAAUUAUUUGUCUUUAGUUAACUCGUUUUUUUAAUUAUGUAAAAUUUUACCUCUUCAGACAUUCCUCUCGUCAAAAGGUAAUCAAAAAGUAUAAAAUUUGAUAAUGAUAAAAAAAAUUCAUUGAAACGAAUAACUUAAACCUAAAGUAGUUAUAUAAACUCUAAAAAACACUAGCCCCAAGUGGGGGUAUUUAGUACCAAUAUUUCCUAUCUCUCUUUUUAAUUAUGAGACCCCCGCAAGGUUCUAUACACUUUUUGUGAGAAAAAUAAAAGAAAUAUUAUGUUAUCAUUAAUAUUGUUAAAAUAUAGCAUUUUGACACUAUCAUUGCAAAAGCCUAAAUAUAUUAGUAAACUGUUUUUGACCUAUCCAACGAUUGGCAAUGCUCUAUAUCUGGACUAAAACAAUUUAAAAGAAACGAAAACACUAAUUUUUUAAAACUCUAUUUUGAUACUUAUCAUUCCUGUUUAGCUUUUUAUACGGAAGCAGUUACGAAUAAACACCAAACUGUCUCCUUCUCUUCUCUUCUCUCCUAGAAGCUCAACAUCUUACGAAAUACCAAUAAUUACUCAGUUUAAACAAGAAAGGUCACCUAAUCUGGUACAAUGCAAUUAUACUAGGAGCUGUGGACAAAAACAAAAAGGGCUACAAUAGUCUUCCAACCAUGGAAAUAACUACCCCUCAAUUCAUUAUCCAAAAGCUAUAAUUUUUGUUCUUCCACUUAUUUCCCACCCAUCCUCAACUUUUGCUUUGUCCUCCCCUUGUUAAAGCUGAAAAGGUGCCUCUAAAUCAAAAUUCCCAAACCUAACCCCAAGGAACCAAGUUUGUGUUUAUACUUUUUGGUGGUUACCUAAAAGCCUGGCGGCGCUAUCAAAAGCAUGGGCGGACUAUCAAGGAUCAAGUAGGGUCUACUGACGUCAACUGAUUUUUUUUUUUUGGUUGCAGUUUUAUUCUACAAACAAAUUACAUAUUCAUCCCAAUAAAAAAAUACACUAAUUUGACCCUCAUUUGGAUAAAAAAUUACACCAUUAUCCUAAAAUUUUAUAAUUUGGACCCACGGUAACUAAUCUCUUGACUGAUUUGACUCCACUGAACCAAUCUUCCUGGCUCUAACCCUACCCUGCCUAAAACCUACCAAUUAUGUUGGCCUUGUGAGGAAGAUAUUGUAAACACUCACUUGAGAUCUUAGUCCCAUCUUUAAUUAUUACCAACCAUUUCCACGUUAAACCUUUCUCAAACCGUUUCAUCAAUCAUUCUCAAACUAUUUCAUGUAAACCAUUUCAAAAUAAUUUCCCUUAAUCAUUCUCAAAAAUUUUUUUUCACGUAACCCUUCUUUAACCAUUUACUCAAAAAGACUUACUUUGAAUUUGCUCCAGGCCACAUGCAUCACAUAAUAUGCAUUACUAAUUCUAUCAAUUAAAUCAUCAUUGCAACCAUUUAAAUACAUUUAAGUAAAAACUUUAUCCAACUCAUUUCCUAAAAAUAAUUUUCAAUUUCCCAUACCAAAUGUUAAAUUAUCAAAAAUUAAUGCAAUAAUAUAUAUACAACUGUAGUCAUGAUCAAAGUAAAACCAUUUUUUAAAAAAAACAUAAUAAUUUUUUUUUUAACUGUUCCAAAAAGUAAUUUUUAGGUGUCGACACCAAAUGUCACUAUCUAAAAUUCUUUCAAUUCCUACUCAAAAGGUGUCGACACCCAGUGUCAGCACCAAUGUCAGUAACCAAAAUAUGAUUUUACUAUUCAAGGUGUCGACACCAUGUCGACAACCAACGGUUCAGUAUUAAAUUCUAACAUUUGGACUUUCAAGGUGUCGACCAACCUCCUAGGUUUCGACACCAACCCUCAGUGUCUUAUUUCCCUAAUUCUCCUCUCAAAGUGUCGACACCACAUCCUAGGUGUCGACACCAACCACCAAAUUAUCACCAAUCACGAUUUCUCAUUUUAUCUAAAUCAAGUUUUUCAUUUAGGGUUCUAUACCCAAAAUUUAUCUCAAUAUACUUUUAUAAGCCCUUAACAACAAUCUCAAAGUAAAACCAAACACCACAUGAACACCCCUUUACCUCAAAUUCAAAGCUUGUCCAAAAAUUAAAGAUGAUGAGAUAAAACCUCAAUCGUCAAUUAUACUAGAAGCAUGUUGACAAAACAAAAAGGGCUACAAUGUACUUCCAACCAAGGUGAAAAAUAAGCUCUUAACCCCUCAAGCAUUAAUAGCAAAGCUAAUAUUUUUUGUUCUCCACUUAGUUUCCCACCCUCCCCUCAACUUUGGUUGCUUUGUCUCCUCCCUUGUUAACGACUGAAAAAUGUGCCUCUAAUCAAAUUCCCAACCUAACUCCCAAGAACCAAGUUUGUUUUAGACUUUUUGGGGUGACCUAAAGCAUGGAUGGAGCUAUCAAGGAGCAAGUGGGUCAAUUGACCCCACUGAAUUUUUAAUUAAUUUUUUUUUUGCAUUUUUAGUCUACAAAAUAUUAACACAUCACCGCAAUAGAAAAAAUACCUAAUUUGGACUCAUUGGUAAAAAAUUGACACCAUUAUCCUAACAUUUUUAAUUUGGACCCCCUGAACUAAUCUCUUGACUGAUUUUGACCCUACUGACCAACUAUUCUGCUCUACCCCUGCCUAAAACCUGCAAAUUAUGUUGGCCAAUUGUGAGGAAUUAUUGUAACACUUUGAUCUUAGGUCCUCUUUAAUCCCAACUCUUUAUUUCAUCAGGAUAAAAAGUUCAUGGAAUUUGUAAUAUUGUAACAGGGCCAAGUGAAACUUUGGCUAAAGCACUACAAGAUUCAUUGUUAAACUUUAACGCCUUUUUUCACAAAUAAAAUUACCUAGAUACUCCCUAAAACCACUUUAGCCAACUUUUUAACGAAAUUGGGGGAGCAUGUUGAGAUUUAUCCAUCAAUGUGGAAUUGGUACUGUGAUGUAUGGGACCCUUGAUUCCCCCCCCCCCAAAGACAUUAAUAAGCCCACCCUAUCAAUGAAGUUCAAUGGAGGACCCUUGAAACCAUGGUCCCAUGAAUCGUACAUUGGGACUAAAGCCCUUACUCUAUGAUGCUUAAAUUAAGUCGGUCUUGAACAGCCGUUGCAAUAAGAUAGUCGUUGCAGUGCAGACAUUGAUUUCAUCCAAAUGUUGAUUCCCACACACUUUCCUCUCUAAGAUUCAUGCACAACAUCAGAAAUGGGCAAAUACUAACUUGCCCAUGACAAUAAAGAUAAAAAAUAAAUACUUUGACUGUCUGGAGAAAAAAUUGAAAAAAUUAACUGGUUGAUUGUUUGUGUUUUGUUAAGUCUGUACCUAAGAAAUGAAAUCAACUCAAUGAUUUUGUUCAAACCUCUAGUUGACUUGGUCUUGACCUAGGUUUUUUUUUUUUAGCUUACAUGCACUGGUUUGUAAUUAACCGACAUGUUCUUGAUUUUCCCACCCACUUUUUUGGAUGAUUCCAUUCAUUUUUAUUUCGAUUUUAUGAAAUCUUGUUUCAUUCAAUUUUUUAUAUGCAUCAUUAGGGACGGAAUUUAGUAUUUUAGUUCAAUGGGUUAAAAUUAAUCAAAUUUAUGUCUAGCAAAAGGGUUAAAAUAAAAUUUCAGAAUUUAUGUUUAAGCUGAGGCAAUAAGCCGGAUUGAAUUAAAAAUUUAUAAAAAUGAGGCAAAUACUAUUUUUUUAGAAGUCUAAACAUUUUUUUUGUCAGUUUAGUUACAACCGACGAGGUCACAAUUGUUAGAACUUAGAUCCAAAGUUCAUCGGUGGGUCAAAAUUUUAUAUAGUUUAGGACAACUUUACUAAUUUUUUUAUAUGAUCAAAAUUACAUUUUGAUAAAUUAAAUAUUAAAAAUAAGAGUGUAAUUUUUUUAAAUAAGGUCAAAUGACCCCACUUGUCUAAUAGGAUGGCACCGUCUAAUUGGGCAUCAUCCUGCCCCUCACGGCUUUUAACUAUUUAAUGGAAAUGACCAAUCGUACAUUCAAAAUUGAAUCUGGAAAGUAAACCAAAAAAAAAAAAAAAUUUUAAAUUGUAAUCCGUUAGUUUUAGUAGAUUAUGUCAUAACCCUGUGGGAAUUUGUCGUCUAUUUUAAAUUAAAUAAUUCUAUUCUACAAUUGUGGUUUAAUUAGUAAGUACACAAUCGACAACAAUAUCAUUGUUGAAAACUUAUAAAUCCUUCGAUUGUGGUUAAUAAUGUUAAUAACUUAUGCAACAACCCCUUUCUAGAAAUUAGUAGUUCUUUCUGAAAACAAAUAAAAAGAAAGAUGAUUCAUACACAACAUAGCUCUUGAGAUACCAACUCUGUUGUUUUGAGCGCAAUCUAUAAUAUCAAAUCAAAACAAACAAAAAACUCAUUUUUGAAUAUCCAAUCAAAUUUAAUUUCCCCCGUCCGCGCAUCUUACUCAUACACGGUUGAAAGUUAUUUGAGUUAAUUAAUAAUCAUAAUCAAUCCAGGACGAACUAGAAGAACUGAAUUUCGCCUGAGACUAUUUUUAAACCUAUUAGAUAAAGAAUCAUUUUUUAUUUAGGACUCUCUACUCUCACACUAAAAAAAAAAUUUCGGAAAAAACAUCAACCCAAACAAUCCUUGUCUUUCAUUCCUCAUCAAUGUUCGCCUUUCGUCCAAACUAGCACAAAAACAAAUUUCAUUCAAAAACCAACUAGCACAAACAAAUUUCAAAAAAUCAUAUAAUUUUCUAUUUGUUCUUUGUUCUCCAUUUUGUUGUAAUGUAUCUCUCUUCGUAUAUGCAUGUAUUAUCUUUUAUCGACGUUUAUUAUCUUAAUAUCAUCUUUUUUUUUUUUUUUUUUUUUAGAUUUAUAAAACUCUAAACGAGUACACUUAAAGAGAUGAUAUUUUUUUUCUUUCACACACAAGGACAAAAAUAGUAACCCCCACAUGGACAAAGUACCCCAACCGCAACCACAGAGCAUCGGGACCGCCCAGGGGCUGUUUAAUUGUUCUACCUAGACCACCCCACUGUGGAUACCCGAGGGGAUCAAGCGAGAGGAAAGUGGUAUCAUACAACGAAGGACACCGAAAAGUUUGAGAUACUCCGGCGAAAGACAAUUCCAUUACCUAACUAUUUUUAAAUAAAUUUUCCCAUAAAAACUUUUCACAUUUUUAAUAAUAACAAAUCAACAAACCACCACCAACCAACACAAAUAAAAAAAAAAAAUCCAACCAUGGUAAAAUGCAAAAUGUUAAUUCAUAUGUUUUUUUUUAUUAAAAUUUCUUUGUUUAUUUUUUUUUAUUUUAAUUUCUAUUCUUUUGAAAAAAUGAAAUAUUGACACAGUUUCAAACAAUUUGACUCCCUUGUAUAUGUUCAUGAACUUUGAUUAUACUUUUGUCUUGAAGAAACACUAGAAUUUUGUUCUUUUCUCCUUUUCGGAUUUGAUUCUGCUUUUUUCUCUUUGCCUCGAUUGAAAUAAUAAAACAAAUAUCACUAAAAACAUCAAUAGCCAGGGGGAUCAUUAUACGCAAGCGAAAACAGGUUUGCAAAGGGGGACACGAAAACAAAAAAAAACGGGCACGAACGCAGAAACUAUCCAUGUAACAAAAUAGUAACUAAAGUUGGAAUUUGCGGCUCGUACCAUAUCGGGGGUAGUGGGGGGAAAGGGGAAGGGGCCGAAAUAGAGGGGGAAAGCCAAGGGGGGAAAAAGCCCCAAGAGAGCGGGUGGGGACAGCGAGACCGGGGACCGGGGGUAUCUGAAGAUCAGGGAAGAAGAAAGGUCCAUUAGUUAUUUUGUGACAAAACACAAAAGAGCAAAGCACCCAGGAAACGAUGAUUCCUAAGUACAAUCAAACCCCCCCAUCGCCUUCUGAUAACACUCUGUUGUUUUGAGCGAAUCUAUAAAUAAAACACAACUGAUUUUGAUCCAAAUUUAUCUCCUCCCGCAUUUAACGAUUGAAAUCUAAUUUGAGUUAAUCCAACGACUGAAAUUUCAUCCACCUGAGACUUAUUUUUUUUGCUCACUCGAACUUUGGGGUUAAUUUUUAUUUUUUUUCGCAAAAACAAAAGAUCAAUUUUAUUUUUUAAUCAAAGUGUGAACCCACAUAUGUCUUAUCAAAAUGAAUACAAAAUUAUAAACUGCGGGGAAUUAAUAAUCUCUCUGGGCAUGGAUAUUUGCCAAGUUGGAUCAUUUUUUAGUAGAUUCACACCCAAAAAAUUAAAACACCUCUUUCUUCUCUUCUCAUUUCUCUCAAAUUAGCAAUAUUUUUUAAAAUCAUUAUACUAUGUUUUUUUUGUAUAAAAAAAUUUAUAAAAAAUCAUAUAUUUUAUAAUUUUUUUUUUUGAAAUAAAAAAUAAAAAACUAAUACACUUUUUUCUCCUCCCCUCCCCCCCUUCUCUCUUUUUUUUUUUCUUUUUUGUUCUUAUUAGAUUAUUUUAUUGUUCCUUUUCGUUCCCUCCCCCCCUCAACACUCCCAUCCCCUCCACCUCUCCCCCCUCUCCUCCCCCCCCCCUCCUCUCCCUCUCCCUCCCCCCUCCUACCCUCCCCCCCCCUCCCACCCUCCCUCCCCCCCCUCCCUCCCUCCCCCCCCCCUCCUCCCCCCAACUCCCCUCCCUUUCUCCCCCUCCCUCCCUCCCCCCAAACCCUCCCCCCCUCUCCCUCACUCCCCCCUCCUCAUCCCCCUCCUCCCCCCCUGCCCUUUUUUUUUUCCCUCCCCUUUUCUCCCCCCUCCCUCCCCCUCCCUCACCUCCUCCCUCCCCCCAUCAAUCACCUUUUUCCUUUUUCCUUUGUUCCCCAUUUGGUAGCAAUAUAUUUCUAUUCUUGCAUGCAAUGUCCAUCUUUUAUUGACUUUAUAUCUGAUCUGUUUUUAUCUGUUUUUUUAAAAAAUUGGUAAAAUUCUAAUGAGUAAACUUAACAAAACCCUGAUUUUUUUUUUUUUUAACGUAAUGCCUUGGGCACGAACAAUUAUUAGUUUGAAUAAAUUGAUUCUACAACAUGUCAAAAUUUUUAUAAUAAAUCGAAUCACCAUGCAAACCAUUUUAAAUUCCCCUACAUUUUUUUUUUUAAUUUCUUUUCUUUGGGAAAAAUGAAUAUUGGACACAAACACCUAGACGAGUUUCAUUUGAAAAGCGGUGUCGAAACACGAGGGGGUGUGACUAGGGCACUAUUCAUUACUUUGAUUAUGAAUUUUUUUGUCUGGACACUAGAAUUUUUCUUUGCCUAAUUGAUUAAAAAAGUCACUAAACACAUAAUUACACAGUUUACCCUACAAUUAGACUUUUACAAUGAACUUAUUGUAUUUUAUGGCGUGGUACCUUCCUCUGUUUUAUUAUUUAAUGAGAGACAAUAUUUGAGUAAAUUUAAUGUUUAGCGUAAAUUUAGCUUCUUGAAGAUUAAACUCAGAGUCCAACUAGAGUCAUUUUUUGGAUAAAAUGACCUAAAUACCCUGUUAUGUAAUUAAACAUUUGUAAGUAAUUUGUUGGAAGGGGUUUUUUGGUAUUUUCAACGCUAAGAAAAAUGCGAUUAGAAAGACGAGGAGUAUAAAAUAUGUUUUUCAGUUUUUCAAAGUUUUCACCCACAAAAAGUACUAGAAAAAAUCUCUACCUCUCUAACAAAUUAAAAACUCUCUCCUCUCUCUCUCUCUCUCUCUCUCUCCUUAACACCAUCACCAUUGGCCUUCCAUGGCGAGUUGGUUCACACCCCUGUUUUUUUCUGCAUCGUCAACCUCAUCAUCGCAUUAUCUUCAUUACUUCAAACUCAUACCCACAAAAAUCACCAUCAAAGUAUAGAGAUGAGCACGACCCCGACCCGAAUGUCCUGGCCCUGCCUUUUUUUAGACCGGUUCCUGUACUCGAUUUCUCUCUCAAAACUCCCACGAUAAUCACCUACAACUACAAGAGGGUGAAACACA